CCUACGGGUGGCUGCAGUGGGGAAUAUUGCACAAUGGGGGGAACCCUGAUGCAGCGACGCCGCGUGAGUGAAGAAGUAUUUCGGUAUGUAAAGCCCUAUCAGCAGGGAAGCAAAUGACGGUACCUGACUAAGAAGCCCCGGCUAACUACGUGCCAGCAGCCGCGGCAAUACGCAGGGGGCAAGCGUUAUCCGGAUUUACUGGGUGUAAAGGGAGCGUAGACGGUUAUGCAAGUCUGAAGUGAAAGUCCAAGGCUCAAACCUGGGACUGCUUUGGAAACUGGAAAACUGGAGUGAAGGAGAGGUAAGCGGAAUGCCUGGUGUAGCGGUGAAAUGCGUAGAUAUUGGGAGGAACACCAGUGGCGAAGGCGGCUUACUGGACUGUAACUGACGUUGAGGCUCGAAGGCGUGGGGAGCGAACAGGAUUAGAUACCCCAGUAGUC
rnacentral:rRNA from 1 species